rnacentral:rRNA from 1 species
UAACGGCCCACCAAGGCGACGAUCAGUAGCCGGACUGAGAGGUUGGCCGGCCACAUUGGGACUGAGACACGGCCCAGACUCCUACGGGAGGCAGCAGUGGGGAAUAUUGGGCAAUGGGCGCAAGCCUGACCCAGCAACGCCGCGUGAAGGAAGAAGGCCCUCGGGUUGUAAACUUCUUUUGUCAGGGACGAAGCAAGUGACGGUACCUGACGAAUAAGCCACGGCUAACUAC